rnacentral:piRNA from 1 species
UGAUGUUGUGCCAGAACUUUCC